AACGAACGCUGGCGGCAGGCUUAACACAUGCAAGUCGAGCGCUCCGCUAGGGGAGCGGCAGACGGGUGAGUAACGCGUGGGAACGUACCCUUUACUACGGAACAGCUCCGGGAAACUGGAAUUACUACCGUAUGUGCGCUUCGGGGGCAAGUUUUAUCGGUAAAGGAUCGGCGCGGGUUGGCUUAGCUAGUUGGUGGGGUAAAGUCCUAGCAAGGCGACGAUCCAUAGCUGGUCUGAGAGCAUGAUCAGCCACAUUGGGACUGAGACAAGAACCAAACUCCUACGGGAGGCAGAAGUGGGGAAUAUUGGACAAUGGGCGCAAGCCUGAUCCAGCCAUGCCGCGUGAGUGAUGAAGGCCUUAGGGUUGUAAAGCUCUUUCACCGAUGAAGAUAAUGACGGUAGUCGGAGAAGAAGCCCCGGCUAACUUCGUGCCAGCCGCCGCCGUAAUAC
rnacentral:rRNA from 1 species